rnacentral:rRNA from 1 species
AUUGAACGCUGGCGGCAUGCUUUACACAUGCAAGUCGAACGGUAACAGGCCUCUGGCUGCUGACGAGUGGCGCACGGGUGUGUAAUGCGCCGGAACGUGUCCAGAGGUGGGGGGUAACGCAGCGAAAGCUGUGCUAAAAUCCCACGUGAUCUGUGGAGGAGAGCGGGGGACAUGGCCGGAAUGCUUGGCCUCGCGCCUUUGGAGCGGCCGAUGUCGGAUUAGGUAGUUGGUGGGGUAAAGGCCUACCAAGCCGACGAUCUGUAACUGGUCUGAGAGGACGAUCAGCCACACUGGAACUGAGACACGGCCCAGACUCCUACGGGAGGCAGCAGUGGGGAAUUUUGGACAAUGGGCGCAAGCCUGAUCCAGCAAUGCCGCGUGCGGGAAGAAGGCCUUCGGGUUGUAAAGCACUUUUGGACGGGAGGAAAAGGAUCUGGCUAAUACCUGGCGCUGAUGACGGUACCGAAAGAAUAAGCACCGGCUAACUACGUG